rnacentral:rRNA from 1 species
GAUGAACGCUGGCGGCGUGCCUAAUACAUGCAAGUCGAGCGAACAGAUGAGGAGCUUGCUCCUCUGACGUUAGCGGCGGACGGGUGAGUAACACGUGGAUAACCUACCUAUAAGACUGGGAUAACUUCGGGAAACCGGAGCUAAUACCGGAUAAUAUAUUGAACCGCAUGGUUCAAUAGUGAAAGACGGUUUUGCUGUCACUUAUAGAUGGAUCCGCGCCGCAUUAGCUAGUUGGUAAGGUAACGGCUUACCAAGGCAACGAUGGGUAGCCGACCUGAGAGGGUGAUCGGCCACACUGGAACUGAGACACGGCCCAGACUCCUACAGGAGGCAGCAGUAGGGAAUCUUCCGCAAUGGGCGAGAGCCUGACGGAGCAACGCCGCGUGAGUGAUGAAGGUCUUCGGAUCGGAAAACUCUGUUAUUAGGGAAGAACAAAUGUGUAAGUAACUAUGCACGUCUUGACGGUACCUAAUCAGAAAGCCACGGCUAACUACGUG